GAUGAAGAACGUAGCGAAAUGCGAUAAGUAAUGCGAAUUGCAGAAUCCGUGAGUCAUCGAAUCUUUGAACGCACAUUGCGCCCGCUGGUAUUCCGGCGGGCAUGCCUGUUCGAGCGUCAUUUCAACCCUCAAGCUCUCCGGAGUUUGGUGUUGGGGCGCCUGGGGCUUUUCGACCUCAGGGCCCUCAAGUCCAUCGGCGGGACCGCCAGGACACUGAGCGCAGUAGUAUUAUUUCGCUCGGUAGGAUCUUCCACGGCGGGUCGAUCUGGCCGCUAAACCCCCCAAUUCUCACCAAAGGUUGACCUCGGAUCAGGUAGGAAUACCCGCUGAACUUAAGCAUAUCAAUAAGCGGAGGA
rnacentral:misc_RNA from 1 species